rnacentral:rRNA from 1 species
AUUGUACGCUGGCGGCAGGCCUAACACAUGCAAGUCGAACGAGUGGCGGACGGGUGAGUAAUGUCUGGGAAACUGCCCGAUGGCGGUGGAUAACUACUGGAAACGGUAGCUAAUACCGCAUACCCUCGGAUGUGCCCAGAUGGGAUUAGCUAGUAGGUGGGGUAAUGGCUCACCUAGGCGACGAUCCCUAACUGGACUGAGAGGAUGACCAGCCACACUGGAACUGAGACACGGUCCAGACUCCAACGGGAGGCAGCAGUGGGGAAUAUUGAACAAUGGGGGCAAGCCUGAGGCAGCCAUGCCGCGUGUAUGAAGAAGGCCUUCGGGUUGUAAAGAACUUUCAGCGAGGAGGCGUUACUCGCAGAAGAAGCACCGGCUAACUCCGUGCCAGCAGCCGCGGUAAUUC